rnacentral:rRNA from 1 species
ACCAAACUCCUACGGGAGGCAGCAGUGAGGAAUAUUGGUCAAUGGGAGCGAUCCUGAACCAGCCAAGCCGCGUGAGGGAAGACGGCCCUACGGGUUGUAAACCUCUUUUGUCGGAGAACAAAACCGUGUACGUGUACAUGGCUGAGUGUAACAAAAGAAUAAGCAUCGGCUAACUCCGUGCCAACAGCCGCGGUAAUACGGAGGAUGCGAGCGUUAUCCGGAUUUAUUGGGUUUAAAGGGUGCGUAGGCGGGCUGUUAAGUCAGCGGUAAAAUAUCGGGGCUCAACCCCGUUUAGCCGUUGAAACUGGCGGUCUUGAGACGGUGAGAGGUACGCGGAAUGCGCGGUGUAGCGGUGAAAUGAAUAGAUGUCGCGCGGAACUCCGACGGCGGAGGCAGCGUACCGGUGCCGAUCUGACGCUGAGGCACGAAAGCGUGGGGAUCGAACAGGAUUAGAUACCCUGGUAGUCCACGCAGUAAACGAUGAAUGCUGGUUGUCCGGUCCGAAUGAGGACUGGGCGGCGAAGCGAAAGCGAUAAGCAUUCCACCUGGGGAGUACGCCGGCAACGGUGAAACUCAAAGGAAUUGACGGGGGCCCGCACAAGCGGAGGAACAUGUGGUUUAAUUCGAUGAUACGCGAGGAACCUUACCCGGGCUCAAACGGGACAGGACAGGUGCAGAGACGCAUCUUUCUUAGGACCUGUUCCGAGGUGCUGCAUGGUUGUCGUCAGCUCGUGCCGUGAGGUGUCGGCUUAAGUGCCAUAACGAGCGCAACCCCUGCCGGCAGUUGCUAACGGUCAAAGCCGAGGACUCU